GCGAACGGGUGAGUAACACGUGGGUGAUCUGCCCUGCACUUCGGGAUAAGCUUGGGAAACUGGGUCUAAUACCGGAUAGGAGCCAUCUUUAGUGUGGUGGUUGGAAAGUUUUUUCGGUGUAGGAUGAGCUCGCGGCCUAUCAGCUUGUUGGUGGGGUAAUGGCCUACCAAGGCGGCGACGGGUAGCCGGCCUGAGAGGGUGUACGGCCACAUUGGGACUGAGAUACGGCCCAGACUCCUACGGGAGGCAGCAGUGGGGAAUAUUGCACAAUGGGCGCAAGCCUGAUGCAGCGACGCCGCGUGGGGGAUGAAGGCCUUCGGGUUGUAAACUCCUUUCGCUAGGGACGAAGCUUUGUUGUGACGGUACCUAGAUAAGAAGCACCGGCUAACUACGUGCCAGCAGCCGCGGUAAUACGUAGGGUGCGAGCGUUGUCCGGAAUUACUGGGCGUAAAGGGCUCGUAGGUGGUUUGUCGCGUCGUCUGUGAAAUUCUGGGGCUUAACUCCGGGCGUGCAGGCGAUACGGGCAUAACUUGAGUGCUGUAGGGGUAACUGGAAUUCCUGGUGUAGCGGUGAAAUGCGCAGAUAUCAGU
rnacentral:rRNA from 1 species